rnacentral:rRNA from 1 species
CUUGGUCAUUUAGAGGAAGUAAAAGUCGUAACAAGGUUUCCGUUGGUGAACCCGCGGAAGGAUCAUUA